GCGACCUAUGCCACAGCGGCAGUGGUGCUGGAUCCUCAAGCCGCCGUGCUGGGCUGGGCACCGAACCGGCCCCCUUCCGCAGAGACAGAUGGGAUCAUUAACCCACUGUGGCACAGUGAGGACUCCUGUGAACUCUUUUAAAACUGUCUCUGGAGUCACGGAGAUACUGUUUGGAGGUACUGUUGCCUGAAAAGCCUUCAGGCUUCUAGAUGCACUGAGCCUGGAAACAGGCUGUGCUCACAGACGCUGCUGUGUCUAGUUUGAGCAGAAACAGAUUCAAUUAUAACAGAGAAGUGAGAUUCGGUGGCGGGGUCAGAGAACCAGGUAUGGAUGCCAUUUGGGGAUCUUUCUGUAAAUGAAUUGCCUGUUCAUGGUAUUUGCCUAUUUUGUCCAUUUUUAAGAGCUUUUAAUAUAUUAGGGAUAUUAGCCUUUUAUCUGUGAUUUUUUUUUAAUUAAAAAAAAUUUUUUUGGGCCAUGUCCAUGGCAUGUGGAAGUUCCUGGGCCAAAGAUUGAACCCGCCCUGCAGCAGUGACCCAAGCCACCACAGUGACAAAGUUGAAUCCUUAACCUGCGCUGCCACAAGGGAGCUCCUAUCUCUGAUUUAUGUUGAAAAUACUCUCUCCCACCUUGUCAAUUGCCUCUGACUUUGUUCGUGGUGUUUUUACCUUAAAAAGGUAUCUCUUAUUUUCAGGUAGUUAAAUUUAUUUACCUCUUCUUUUAUUGCAUCUGGAUUAGAUCUGUUUGGAGUUUACUCAUAGGUGAAAUACGAGGUAUUUGAUUUUGAAACCCAAUUUUAUGAAAUGUCUAGGUCUGCCAAGGGUUGCAAAUGAAAAUCCUUUCAAGAGCUAAGCAGAAUGUGAGAUGGGAGAAGAAAAGAGGGAGGGGGUUCCCUUCAUGGCUCAGCAGUAAUGAACGGACUCGGAUGAUCCAUUCCUGGCCUCGCUUAGUGGGUUUAGGAUCCGGCAUUGCCGUGAGCUGUGGUGUGGGUCACAGAUGCGGCUCGGAUCCCGCGUUGCCGUGGCCGUGGUGUAGGCCAGUAGCUGCUGCUCUGAUUGGACCUCUAGCCUGGGAACCUCCAUAUGCCGUGGGUGCGGCCCUAAACAACAAACAAACAAAAAAACCACACCCCCCCCCACACUCAUAGGGGGUAUGCUAGUUUCCUAAGGCUGGCAGAAACAAAUGACCCCUAACUUGGGGCCUGGAAACAACAGAAAUGUAUCACCCCAGCUCUAGAGGCUGGAAGCCCAAGAUCCGGGUGUGGGCUGGCUUCGUUCCUUCCCGGGGCUCUGAUGAGACUCUGUCCCAGGCCCUUGUCCCAGGUCCCGGUGACUGACAGCAGUCCUUGGCAUCCUUCACGCAUUGCCACGUCGCUGCAAUCGCUGCUCCGUCCGCACGUGGCCUUCUUCCCUGCGUGUCUGUGUGCCAACUUUCCCGCUCAGCCUAAGGCUACCAGUCAUUGGAUUCAGGGCCCGCCCCACUCCAGUCUGACCUCAUUUAACCUGAUUACACCUGCAAAGACCCUGUAUCCAAAUAAGUUCACCUUCGUAGGUUCCGGGGAGACAGGCAUUUGUGGGGGGGAGCCCCCGGCGCCUGUGGGUGGAGAGCCUGGGGACCUUCCGUGGAUCUCAUGUCGCUGUUGACUGGUCCUUCCUGGUGACGAAGGGUCUGCUGUGCUGGGAAACUCCUCAGACGCCAUUGACUCUGAAAACGGGUUUUGAAAAACUUCGACAGCUUGUCAUUGUCACAUGAUCGGAGAAAAGGCGAAAGAACCCAGAGGCCGGCUCUCCUGAGUCUGAACAAAGAGUUGGCCUUCCCUCCAGCCUUCCGGGGGCAGGCUUGUUUGGCCUCAAUAUUUGGGUUUCCCCUGGGAGGCCAGGCCCUUGCUCUGCUUUUUCCCUCAGUGUAAAGGGGUGAAUUCAUGCGAGUCCCUCGUGCCAAGAGAGAGCCCAUUUCAUCCAAGAGAAAGGGGAAGGCAGUGUCCCCCACCCUGAGAGCCAGGGGAGGGCUCAUCUCCCCUGAAGGCCUGAGGACCCCCCAACCCUGGAAUUGCCCCCCCCUUCGAAUAUUAACCCAGAUGCUGUUGUGAAGAGAUUUUGCAAAUGGACGGUCCCAGGUCAGGUGACCUUAAGGCUCGGAGAUGGUCUGUGUGGGCUGGACCCAUUCAGGUGAAUCUUGUCAAAUCAGAGUGAUUUCUCUGGUGGGAGGAGGCAUCAGAGAUUUUCGAAAGGUCAGAAACACAGGCCACGCCAUCCCCUUUCUGCUCCGAAGUCAGAAGGAGCCACCAGGGAAGUGUGAGCCACCCAGCCAGCAGGGGCCAGACCCACAGCCUCCAGGAUGCAGGUUCUCGGGCGGAGGACAGCCCCGUGGGGGGACACCUGGGUUUUCCCCUGAGACCCGAACAGAGCACCUAGUCGAGCCUGUUCAGAUUUCUGGUCCACGGAACUCCAGGUGAUAAGUGGGGUUAAUUUAAGCCACUAGAUUGGUGGUGAGUCGUCAUGCAGCGGGAGAAAGGACCCCGCCUCUGGUCUCGGAAGGUCGGAGGAGAAGCAGAGAUUUGGGAAAUCGGGCGACUCCACUGUUUCUGGCUGGUCCACCCCCGUCCUGUGUGCGUUGAGUCCUGCCACAGCGCCUGUGCCCUGCCCGAGACCGCAACACCCCGCAGUGAGCCAGCCGGCUGUGCAGAGCAAUCAGACACGUGACCGUCUUGUGGUCAACUCGUGACUGGAGACCUGGGAACCAGGUGGGUCUAACCACAUUUUUUCUGGCUGUUUUAGAACUUCCUAGAACCAAGGAAUCUUGAUCAAGUUCCUUAACAGUAUCAAUUCCCC
rnacentral:lncRNA from 1 species